rnacentral:rRNA from 1 species
AUGUUAUGUGAGCCAGACUUCCUUUGUACAUGUGUGCUGAAGGCGAGGUAUUUCCCUUCUGGCAAUCUUCUAAAUGCUGAAUUGAAAAAGGGUUGUUCGUAUACCUGGCAAAGCAUACAUGCAGGCAUCCAAUGUUUUAGGAAAGGGUAUGUAUGGCGGGUGGGAGAUGGUACGGAAAUAAACAUUUGGGAUGAUCCGUGGAUUCCCAAUAGCCCGUCAAGGAAGGUUUUGACUGAGCGACGGAAUAUUGUGCUUACGUCAGUCUCAGAAUUGAUCGAUCCGGAUGCGAAGGAAAGGGACGAACAGCUAGUAAGGAGCCUCUUCUUGCCGGUUGAUGCGGCAAGAAUUCUUAACAUUCCCCUAGCAGUUGGUUAUAUGGAGGAUUUUGUUUCUUGGAAUUAUACCAAAUCGGGCCUAUUUACCGUCAGGUCCGCUUAUUACAUCGAUGGGAGUUUCAGCAUGGGAGGAAAUUGGCUAGGACGAGCCCUCCGAGCACCACUGCUGUGA